CAAGCGAACAAGUGCAUGUGGUGGAUGCCUUGGCGAUCACAGGCGAUGAAGGACGCGGUAGCCUGCGAAAAGCUACGGGGAGCUGGCAAACAAGCUUUGAUCCGUAGAUGUCCGAAUGGGGAAACCCACUCCUUUUGGAGUAUCCAUGGCUGAAUACAUAGGCCAUGUGAAGCGAACGCGGUGAACUGAAACAUCUAAGUAACCGCAGGAAAAGAAAUCAACCGAGAUUCCCAAAGUAGUGGCGAGCGAAAUGGGAUGAGCCUUGCACUCUUUAUUUGUAUUGUUAGCCGAACGCUCUGGAAAGUGCGGCCAUAGCAGGUGAUAGCCCUGUAGGCGAAAACAGUAUGAAAGAACUAGGUGUGCGACAAGUAGGGCGGGACACGUGAAAUCCUGUCUGAAGAUGGGGGGACCAUCCUCCAAGGCUAAAUACUCGUGAUCGACCGAUAGUGAACCAGUACCGUGAGGGAAAGGCGAAAAGAACCCCGGGAGGGGAGUGAAAUAGAUCCUGAAACCGCAUGCAUACAAACAGUCGGAGCCUCGUAAGGGGUGACGGCGUACCUUUUGUAUAAUGGGUCAGCGACUUACGUUCAGUAGCAAGCUUAACCGUAUAGGGCAGGCGUAGCGAAAGCGAGUCCGAAUAGGGCGUUCAGUUGCUGGGCGUAGACCCGAAACCAGGUGAUCUAUCCAUGGCCAGGAUGAAGGUGCGGUAACACGUACUGGAGGUCCGAACCCACUAACGUUGAAAAGUUAGGGGAUGAGCUGUGGAUAGGGGUGAAAGGCUAAACAAACCUGGAAAUAGCUGGUUCUCUCCGAAAACUAUUUAGGUAGUGCCUCGUGUCUCACCUUCGGGGGUAGAGCACUGUCAUGGUUGGGGGGUCUAUUGCAGAUUACCCCGCCAUAGCAAACUCCGAAUACCGAAGAGUGCAAUCACGGGAGACAGACAUCGGGUGCUAACGUCCGGUGUCAAGAGGGAAACAACCCAGACCGCCAGCUAAGGUCCCCAAAUAUAGCUAAGUGGGAAACGAAGUGGGAAGGCUAAAACAGUCAGGAGGUUGGCUUAGAAGCAGCCACCCUUUAAAGAAAGCGUAAUAGCUCACUGAUCGAGUCGUCCUGCGCGGAAGAUGUAACGGGGCUAAGCUAUAUACCGAAGCUGCGGAUGCGUGCUUGCACGCAUGGUAGGAGAGCGUUCCGUAAGCCUGCGAAGGUGCCUUGUAAAGGGUGCUGGAGGUAUCGGAAGUGCGAAUGCUGACAUGAGUAGCGAUAAAGGGGGUGAAAGGCCCCCUCGCCGUAAGCCCAAGGUUUCCUACGCAACGUUCAUCGGCGUAGGGUGAGUCGGCCCCUAAGGCGAGGCAGAAAUGCGUAGCUGAUGGGAAGCAGGUCAAUAUUCCUGCACCAUUGUUAGAUGCGAUGGGGGGACGGAUCGCGGAAGGUUGUCCGGGUGUUGGAAGUCCCGGUCGCUGCAUUGGAGAAGGCGCUUAGGCAAAUCCGGGCGCGUAAUUCAAGGGUGUGGCGCGAGCUCCUUAGGGAGCGAAGCAAUUGGAAGUGGUUCCAAGAAAAGCCUCUAAGCUUCAGUCUAACGAUGACCGUACCGCAAACCGACACAGGUGGGCGAGAUGAGUAUUCUAAGGCGCUUGAGAGAACUCGGGAGAAGGAACUCGGCAAAUUGGUACCGUAACUUCGGGAUAAGGUACGCCCUUGUAGCUUGACCAGCCUGCGCUGGAAGGGUGAAGGGGUUGCAAUAAACUGGUGGCUGCGACUGUUUAAUAAAAACACAGCACUCUGCAAACACGAAAGUGGACGUAUAGGGUGUGACGCCUGCCCGGUGCCGGAAGAUUAAAUGAUGGGGUGCAAGCUCUUGAUUGAAGUCCCGGUAAACGGCGGCCGUAACUAUAACGGUCCUAAGGUAGCGAAAUUCCUUGUCGGGUAAGUUCCGACCUGCACGAAUGGCGUAACGAUGGCCACACUGUCUCCUCCCGAGACUCAGCGAAGUUGAAGUGUUUGUGAUGAUGCAAUCUACCCGCGGCUAGACGGAAAGACCCCAUGAACCUUUACUGUAGCUUUGCAUUGGACUUUGAACCGAUCUGUGUAGGAUAGGUGGGAGGCUAUGAAACCGGAACGCUAGUUUCGGUGGAGCCGUCCUUGAAAUACCACCCUGGUUUGUUUGAGGUUCUAACCUUGGCCCGUGAUCCGGGUCGGGGACAGUGCAUGGUAGGCAGUUUGACUGGGGCGGUCUCCUCCCAAAGCGUAACGGAGGAGUACGAAGGUACGCUAGGUACGGUCGGAAAUCGUGCUGAUAGUGCAAUGGCAUAAGCGUGCUUAACUGCGAGACCGACAAGUCGAGCAGGUGCGAAAGCAGGUCAUAGUGAUCCGGUGGUUCUGUAUGGAAGGGCCAUCGCUCAACGGAUAAAAGGUACUCUGGGGAUAACAGGCUGAUACCGCCCAAGAGUUCAUAUCGACGGCGGUGUUUGGCACCUCGAUGUCGGCUCAUCUCAUCCUGGGGCUGUAGCCGGUCCCAAGGGUAUGGCUGUUCGCCAUUUAAAGAGGUACGUGAGCUGGGUUUAAAACGUCGUGAGACAGUUUGGUCCCUAUCUGCCGUGGGCGUUGGAUAUUUGAAGGGGGCUGCUCCUAGUACGAGAGGACCGGAGUGGACGAACCUCUGGUGUACCGGUUGUCACGCCAGUGGCAUCGCCGGGUAGCUAUGUUCGGAAGAGAUAACCGCUGAAAGCAUCUAAGCGGGAAACUCGCCUUAAGAUGAGAUAUCCCUGGGGACUAGAUCCCCUUGAAGGGUCGUUCGAGACCAGGACGUUGAUAGGUCAGGUGUGUAAGCGCAGUAAUGCGUUCAGCUAACUGAUACUAAUUGCCCGUAAGGCUUGAUCC
rnacentral:rRNA from 1 species